AAAAGACGACUGGGUGGACAGGAAGUGUAAAGGAGGGGAAAUAACUCACAACAUGCAGAAGGACAUCUUCAGCUGCGGGGUCUUUGUAAUGCAGAUGGCCAAGGAAGUUGCACAGAACUUCCCCAACAUCCCAAAUUGAUAAGGAACCUUCACAAAAACACAUGGAGCAACUGCGAAAAGAAAUGGCUGAGGAUAUACUAAAAAUGUCUGAGUUCAACAAAGCCAACAACUGCUUCAUGUGUGCCACUGAUAAAGAACCUGGAUAUGGCCCAAAGACUGACUGGAUUGAAUGUUUUGCAUGCCAACGGUGGUUCCAUGUGCUGUGCCUAGGAAUGAAGACAAGAGUUCAACAGAGUAAAGAACACAAACUGGAAGUGCAGUCUGUUGUUGAUAAUGUAUGCUAUACCCCAUCCACACUGAAGAGGCUCUGACAUGUACAUCAACCAGGAAU